UGCAGUCGAGCGGACCGACGGGAGCUUGCUCCCUUAGGUCAGCGGCGGACGGGUGAGUAACACGUGGGUAACCUGCCUGUAAGACUGGGAUAACUCCGGGAAACCGGGGCUAAUACCGGAUGCUUGAUUGAACCGCAUGGUUCAAUCAUAAAAGGUGGCUUUUAGCUACCACUUACAGAUGGACCCGCGGCGCAUUAGCUAGUUGGUGAGGUAACGGCUCACCAAGGCGACGAUGCGUAGCCGACCUGAGAGGGUGAUCGGCCACACUGGGACUGAGACACGGCCCAGACUCCUACGGGAGGCAGCAGUAGGGAAUCUUCCGCAAUGGACGAAAGUCUGACGGAGCAACGCCGCGUGAGUGAUGAAGGUUUUCGGAUCGUAAAACUCUGUUGUUAGGGAAGAACAAGUACCGUUCGAAUAGGGCGGCACCUUGACGGUACCUAACCAGAAAGCCACGGCUAACUACGUGCCAGCAGCCGCGGUAAUACGUAGGUGGCAAGCGUUGUCCGGAAUUAUUGGGCGUAAAGCGCGCGCAGGCGGUUUCUUAAGUCUGAUGUGAAAGCCCCCGGCUCAACCGGGGAGGGUCAUUGGAAACUGGGGAACUUGAGUGCAGAAGAGGAGAGUGGAAUUCCACGUGUAGCGGUGAAAUGCGUAGAGAUGUGGAGGAACACCAGU
rnacentral:rRNA from 1 species